AUAAAUAAUAUCAAGAAUUUUAAAAGGUUACAAUUGCAAAUAUAGAAUUCUAGAGAGACCAGCUGACCUCCUUUAAUCUUCUUUGGGUAUGCCUAUGCGGCGGACCCAUAAAUACUUUUUACAGUAUCAAAAUCUAACUUCAAAAUAAU
rnacentral:sRNA from 1 species